AUUGAACGCUGGCGGCAUGCCUUACACAUGCAAGUCGAACGGCAGCGCGGACUUCGGUCUGGCGGCGAGUGGCGAACGGGUGAGUAAUACAUCGGAACGUACCCUGUUGUGGGGGAUAAGUAGUCGAAAGAUUAGCUAAUACCGCAUACGACCUGAGGGUGAAAGUGGGGGACCGGAAACGGCCUCAUGCAGCAGGAGCGGCCGAUGUCUGAUUAGCUAGUUGGUGGGGUAAAGGCCCACCAAGGCGACGAUCAGUAGCUGGUCUGAGAGGACGAUCAGCCACACUGGGACUGAGACACGGCCCAGACUCCUACGGGAGGCAGCAGUGGGGAAUUUUGGACAAUGGGGGCAACCCUGAUCCAGCAAUGCCGCGUGUGUGAAGAAGGCCUUCGGGUUGUAAAGCACUUUUGUCCGGAAAGAAAUCGCGCUGGUUAAUACCUGGCGUGGAUGACGGUACCGGAAGAAUAAGCACCGGCUAACUACGUG
rnacentral:rRNA from 1 species